AUUGAACGCUGGCGGCAUGCCUUACACAUGCAAGUCGAACGGUAACAGGUCUUCGGAUGCUGACGAGUGGCGAACGGGUGAGUAAUACACCGGAACGUGCCUAGUAGUGGGGGAUAACUACUCGAAAGAGUGGCUAAUACCGCAUGAGAUCUACGGAUGAAAGCAGGGGAUCGCAAGACCUUGUGCUACUAGAGCGGCCGAUGGCAGAUUAGGUAGUUGGUGGGAUAAAAGCUUACCAAGCCGACGAUCUGUAGCUGGUCUGAGAGGGCGAUCAGCCACACUGGGACUGAGACACGGCCCAGGCGCCUACGGUAGGCAGCAGUGGGGAAGUUUGGAAAAUGGGCAAAAGCCUGAGCCAGCAAUGCCGCGUGCAGGAUGAAGGCCUUCGGGUUGUAAACUGCUUUUGUACGGAACGAAAAGCCCCGGGUUAAUACCCUGGGGUCAUGACGGUACCGUAAGAAUAAGCACCGGCUAACUACGUGCCAGCCGCCGCCGUAA
rnacentral:rRNA from 1 species